AUACUCUCAACCUUCUUGGUUUCUUUGACCAUGAAGGCUUGGACUUUGGAGGUUUUUCUUGCUGGCCUCUUUAGAAGCCAGCUCCUCCUAAAUGAAUGGGUGGGGUCCGCUUUGCUGAUCCUCGACGUGAUAAGCAUCUCUUCUACGUCUCAGUGUCAGCUCGGAACCCGCUUUCCAACCGUCUUUGGACAAAGACAAUGUUCGAGUUGCGACUCGACCUUACAAA
rnacentral:misc_RNA from 1 species